AGGCGGCUCAGUCUCUCUCCGAAUCUUGUUCGUUACUUGGAGGACUUCCUUACUUCCGUUGCUAGCGUCGCUGUUUGGUUUGAGAAAAUUUCGAAAUGGCUGGUUGAAAAGAGAGGGAAAGAGAGAGUUGAGAGUGAGAGACGGAUAUG